rnacentral:rRNA from 1 species
UGCAGCAGGCGCGAAACCUUUACACUGCACGACAGUGCGAUAGGGGGACUCCGAGUGUGAGGGCAUAUAGCCCUCGCUUUUCUGUACCGUAAGGUGGUACAGGAACAAGGACUGGGCAAGACCGGUGCCAGCCGCCGCGGUAAUACCGGCAGUCCGAGUGAUGGCCGAUAUUAUUGGGCCUAAAGCGUCCGUAGCUUGCUGUGUAAGUCCAUUGGGAAAUCGACCAGCUCAACUGGUCGGCGUCCGGUGGAAACUACACAGCUUGGGGCCGAGAGACUCAACGGGUACGUCCGGGGUAGGAGUGAAAUCCUGUAAUCCUGGACGGACCACCAAUGGGGAAACCACGUUGAGAGACCGGACCCGACAUUGAGGGACGAAAUCGCCCGCCGCG